AGAGUGUGGACUUUGCUCAGAAGCACAGCAUCUGUGAAGCUUUCGGAAAUUAUCCCUCUGGCUCCAGCCCUUUCUAGAGAUCUCCACGCACAUCUCUGCAUGAAGGUUUCAGAGUCACUGGAUUUCCCAGGGCCUUCUCUUUGCUAGGAAUGUCUGAGACGCGCUCUGCAAGAUGAGUUGGCAGCAUCUCUGUGCCUCUGGUUUUGCCAGGCUCCACCAACAUCCCGCUAAGAACUCUUCACCCUCAAGAGCCCGGGGUUCACUGGAGUAGGGCUGCGGAGGAGGAAACCGUGUGGUCGGGGAGGGGACUGGAGACCUCUGCCCGCCCUUGGAAACGUGCAUCUUUCCUUCUGUUUGCUUG
rnacentral:lncRNA from 1 species